CCUACGGGGGGCAGCAGUGAGGAAUAUUGGUCAAUGGGCGUAAGCCUGAACCAGCCAAGUAGCGUGCGGGAUGACGGCCCUACGGGUCGUAAACCGCUUUUGUACGGGGAUAACACCCUCCACUUGUGGAGUUUUGCAGGUACCGUGUGAAUAAGGGCCGGCUAAUUCCGUGCCAGCAGCCGCGGUAAUACGGAGGGCCCGAGCGUUAUCCGGAUUUAUUGGGGUUAAAGGGAGCGUAGGCGGGGCGUUAAGUCAGGCGGUAAAUUCUGGGGGCCAACCCUGGCACCGCAGUUGAAACUGGACGCCUUGAGUACACAACAGGCAGGCGGAAUUCGUGGUGUAGCGGUGAAAUGCAUAGAUAUCACGAGGAACCCCGAGUGCGAAGGCAGCCUGCCGGGGUGCGACUGACGCUGAGGCUCGAAGGUGCGGGUAUCAAACAGGAUUAGAUACCCGAGUAGUC
rnacentral:rRNA from 1 species